rnacentral:lncRNA from 1 species
ACGGCGCCUCGGCGCACAGAGGCAAGCCGGAGCCUCGGCGGGGCCGAGGACGCGCCGCGAAGGGCGGCAAAGCAAACCGAGGGGUGAGAUUUUAAUUGACGAAAGUAAAAACAGAACUGCCCCUCGCCGGCAAACAGCACCUUCCCGAGUCCCAAGUGGGGGAAGAACAAAUGAAAAGCAGAAUUAAGGUUGUCGUUCCGUUACCGAGAGAAAACUGUUGCAAGUGCCUUUCGGGCUGCGGCGAGACGUGUCUGUUCCCCAAGGAUAGAGGUAGCCUGGUUUUUGUCUAGAGACAGACACAUUUUGGUCUGGGGAUGGUUUCCUCCAGGCCAGAACGAGGUGUUACGAUGCUAUUAGUGCGGGAAAAUACAGACACAGAAAAAGCCCAGGAACAGAAAACUAAGCAAAGAAAAAUGCAUCUUUCACAGACCCUCGUUCCCCAUCCCUUCUGCAAGGAAGACGGUCGGGGGCUCAGAUGCCGGGGGAGCAGACCCUGGCCCCCGGGAGCUGCGGCGGGUCCCAGCCGAGAGGGACAAGCUGAGUGCAACAUGCCUCGUCCUGCGGGCGCCGGCGGGGACUUGCCGGAAAGCAGGACCCAUGAUUGUCACUUGAUGCUGCCCCUGGCCCCCGCUACAGACGUCCCCGUGGCCUGGCAAAGGAGCCGGGCGAGCAAACGCAGGGAUUGCUCUCGGCCCUGGGGCUGCUGCGGCGAUCCAGCACGGGAGCUGCCUCGAUUGCAAACGGUGACGUAUCCGCCCCCUCUCCCGCAGGCUGGACAAUCCUCACCUUUGAGAUCGGGGCAGGACCGGGAACGUGAAAUGCCCUUCACGCCAGCUGGCCGCAGGCUUUGCUGCUCAGCGCUGCCUGCGCGUCUCCCGCGCUGCUCAGCCAGCUCCGCGGCUCGGGGGUCAGCUGUACGGGAGCAGCAGCAGUUUGGUACAGUACUUCGUGUCCAGGUAUAUUUGCAAAGAGCCUUUAAGCAAACCUAUGCCCCACAGGUUUUCCUCCCUGUCUCCCGGCGACGCUCCGAAGUGCUCAGAGCACUUCCACAACCUUCAGCUAAACUGGCAAAUCUGUCCCGUCCUGCAGCAACCCCCUCUCCCAUUGACCNNNNNNNNN